CCCGCAUUUCGCAUACAUAUUAAUCAAAGCAUUCGAAUUUGCUAAUUCAGAAACAAACCCAUUGACUAAUACUAUCCCAUGGACCUGCAGCCCGAGUCUAAGGGCCGAUAACCCAGCACAAGACUUUAGCACGCUAGGCAAAGUGUGGCGAUCAAUGGGCUUAUUGGCACCGAGCAUGCGACGAAAAAAGGUAAGAGAGUGAGAAAAAAGGUUGAGAGAGGCGUAAGCUCUAAUGAGUGAAUUGA
rnacentral:misc_RNA from 1 species